ensembl:lncRNA
AGAACUCAGAAAAGCAGAGGGAAGUUACUUUUCCUCCCCUGCAGAAGCCCAGUUUGUAGUCCCACCAGAGCUGAUCCAAACCACCAACAAACAACUGGCAACAUUCCUGAACAUUUAAACUUAGUCUCCGGAGCAAGUAUGAACUGCUUCCAGCACCCCGCUGAAAGCAUGGUCUGCCUUCUCAUGACUGCCUUCUUCCUUUCUCCUCUCUGAUUCUUCAACCCACAUUUACCCUUGGACUUCAGGUUGUUGUAUGAUCUUCUAUCUAGCAAGCUCCUUCAUGAAUCACCAUGGCAUACAAAGAAUAAGUUAGUGCACCAUACCUCCAGUACCAAACUUCAGUAUACCUGGCACAUUAUGAAAGCAAAAUAAUUGAAAAGUGGAAGAGAGAAGAGAAAGGAAUGAAACAAGAAAGAAGUAAUGGAAGAAAAGGUUGACGCAGGCUAAGAAUUUAAGAAAAAACACCUUAAGGAAAAAUCAUUGUUCUGGUGUUCUGGCUGACCAACCUUUAUCAAAAGGAGGUCAUGGAAUAUCAACAGGCCUCCGGAAUAGAAGAUGAUGUACAGAAAAUAAGACUUUUACAAGAAGGAACCUGAUAUCCAUAAAAGUUAUUACUGAUGGAAUGUUGAGUUGACUCUGCAUUUUUCACCUUGCUGUAUGUAUAACUCAGGGUAUAAAAGCCCCGAAAAGAAUAAAGUAAAUGAGCCUCGCUCGAAGAAGCUUGGUCACCCCGUG